UGAAAAGCUUGUGAAAAUGCAGAAUUCCUCUUGAAUCUGAAUCUCUGCAGGAGAAGAGUGGUGCCAGUUGCCAGAGGUUUGAGGAAAAAGAAGUCAUGGGAGAAUUUACAUUUCAGAAAAUUCCAUUCAUUGACUUAAUUAUUUCUGGGAAUUCAGAAAAGACCACCAUGAUCCUUUAGCCGCGAAAACACUUGGGCCAGUUUUGGAAAUGCUAGAAUCCUGCAGGAGAAGCUUUUGAGAAAUUCAGUACUGUGCAGUGUUGUAACCCGAAUACUUUGCUGGAGAAAGGGUUACUGAGAGAUCAUAUUCACAAAUCAACGUGCAAUAGUGAAAAAAGAUGGCAACACUGAAGAACCUUACUGAAUAACCCAGUAUGGACCACGUAUUGUAAUAGGCACUUAAUUUCUCUCAAUCCUUUCGAUAUCUCCUUGAAAUAGGUACUAUUAG
rnacentral:lncRNA from 10 species